AGUCCCUCGUGAUCGGUAAUUAGAUAUACACGUUACUUUUAAUAGUGUAUAAAAUCUAUUGUGUUCAAGGAAUAGGCAGAUGCAUUUUGAGGUUUACACAGAUGAAGAUCUUUAUUAAAUAAUUCCUGUGGAGUAUGCCCAGUUGUUACGAGAACGGCGUCCUUGUGAAAGGUCAGGCGAUCGAGAUAGGAAAAGAUGGAUAAGUGAAGGAGCUGGCUGUGAAGGUGUUACCCAUCUAAAUCUCAUUAAGUAUUUUUGGAUGGGUUGCUUGUCUUAUACCAUUCUUCAACAGGGAUGCGACACACCCAACUAACUCUCAGGGAGUACCACCAGUAGGACAGAGCCUUCUAUUCAUCAACAACUCUAUACGGACAGGGUUCCAACCCAUACCCAUUUCCCGACACCAGCUGAAGAGGGUACCAAUCCGAGGGUCGACCGUUGUGCAGGUAUGCCUGCGCCGUCUGUCCGCACAGUCGACUUGUGUAGAGAAAACUGAAGGUGUUGACAACCUGCCUGCGCAGGCGCGCCUCGAUGUAGGUGUCGGGAGGCCACCUUCUUUGCCCAGGUCUCUUUCCGUCCUCGGAUGAAGUGUGUUCCAGUCUGAACCAGAAAGUGCUGAACUUUAUUGAAUCUAAAAGUGUUUACACAGAUUAAUGAUAUAUCAUUUAUUUUCUAAAUAAUCGAUGGCGAUGUUAGAUUAAUAUAUAUUUAUAAUUUUGCGAUUUUUCUAAUGGAAUAAUAAUUGAGUAUAUUGAAGGUUACAAGUGGCAGCGCCAUUCCUGAAUGUCUUGAAUAUUUCAUUGAAACAUAUAAUAAGAAUGAGCCUUUUCUUGGGCAGUUAGUAUCCAGAGAUGAUAAUAAUAGGUUUUAAAAAAAUGGGGGGGCCGGGUUGGGGGUGUGGAU